rnacentral:sRNA from 1 species
AUGUUGUAAAUACGACAAAAGACUAUAAAAGUUAAUGACAUUCACGAAAUUUACACGUUCUAAUGGUCGAUGACACAAGGAAACUUUCAAUGUUGCCACAAGUGAAUUGAGAUCUCAAGUCAGCCUCCAAUACUUCUGAAAGAGCGGUGCUAACCCUCUUAAUACAAAAUUUAUAUAUCUAAACAAAACACCGUACUAAACCAAACAAUCUUAGAUUCAAUCGCGGUGCUUACAAUCUAACUUAGUUAUAACAAAAUUUAUAUAUCUAAACGAAAACUAAACACCACAUUAAACUCAACCAUCUUAGAUUCAAUCAAAACC